rnacentral:rRNA from 1 species
CGGCAGGCUUAACACAUGCAAGUCGAGGGGCAGCACUUGUAGCAAUACAUGGUGGCGACCGGCGCAAGGGUGCGUAACGCGUGAGCAACAUGCCCGUAUCAGGGGGAUAAUCCAGGGAAACUUGGUCUAAUACCCCAUAGCAAUUAUUUGAGGCAUCUUAAAUAAUUUAAAGCUUUGGUGGAUACGGAUUGGCUCGCGUGACAUUAGCUAGAUGGUAAGGUAACGGCUUACCAUGGCUACGAUGUCUAGGGGUUCUGAGAGGAAGAUCCCCCACACUGGAACUGAGACACGGUCCAGACUCCUACGGGAGGCAGCAGUGAGGAAUAUUGGACAAUGGAUGGAAAUCUGAUCCAGCCAUGCCGCGUGCAGGAAGACGGCCCUAUGGGUUGUAAACUGCUUUUGUGUGGGAGCAAUAAGGUCUAUGCGUAGACUGAUGAGAGUACCAUACGAAUAAGCAUCGGCUAACUCCGUG